GCCUGUGUGGCUCAGUCGGUUGAGCAUCUGACUUCAGCUCAAGUCAUGAUCUCACAGUUUGUGGGUUCAAGCCCCACGUCAGGCU
rnacentral:tRNA from 1 species